ACACCGGCGGCCCGAGUGGUGAUCGUGAUUAUUGGGUCUAAAGGGUCCGUAGCCGGUUUGGUCAGUCCUCCGGGAAAUCUGAUGGCUCAACCAUUAGGCUUUCGGGGGAUACUGCCAGGCUUGGAACCGGGAGAGGUAAGAGGUACUACAGGGGUAGGAGUGAAAUCUUGUAAUCCCUGUGGGACCACCUGUGGCGAAGGCGUCUUACCAGAACGGGUUCGACGGUGAGGGACGAAAGCUGGGGGCAC
rnacentral:rRNA from 1 species